AGUGAACGCUGGCGGUAGGCCUAACACAUGCAAGUCGAACGGCAGCACAGUAAGAGCUUGCUCUUACGGGUGGCGAGUGGCGGACGGGUGAGGAAUACAUCGGAAUCUACUUUUUCGCGGGGGAUAACGUAGGGAAACUUCCGCUAAUACCGCAUACGACCUACGGGUGAAAGCAGGGGAUCUUCGGACCUUGCGCGAUUGAAUGAGCCGAUGUCGGAUUAGCUAGUUGGCGGGGUAAAGGCCCACCAAGGCGACGAUCCGUAGCUGGUCUGAGAGGAUGAUCAGCCACACUGGAACUGAGACACGGUCCAGACUCCUACGGGAGGCAGCAGUGGGGAAUAUUGGACAAUGGGCGCAAGCCUGAUCCAGCCAUACCGCGUGGGUGAAGAAGGCCUUCGGGUUGUAAAGCCCUUUUGUUGGGAAAGAAAAGCAGCAGGUUAAUACCCCGCUGUUCUGACGGUACCCAAAGAAUAAGCACCGGCUAACUUCGUG
rnacentral:rRNA from 1 species